rnacentral:rRNA from 1 species
AGUAGUUGAUCCGUGGCGUACAGGACGAACGCUGGCGGCGUGCCUAACACAUGCAAGUCGAACGGGACUAUACUGAUUAAUCUUCGGAAGCGUUGGUAUAGUUUAGUGGCGGACGGGUGAGUAACACGUGAGCAACCUGCCUUUCAGAGGGGGAUACCGUUUGGAAACGAACGCUAAUACCGCAUAAAGUAUAUUGACCGCAUGAUUGAUAUACCAAAGGAGCAAUCCGCUGAAAGAUGGGCUCGCGGCUGAUUAGAUAGUUGGUGGGGUAACGGCCUACCAAGUCGACGAUCAGUAGCCGGACUGAGAGGUUGAACGGCCACAUUGGGACUGAGACACGGCCCAGACUCCUACGGGAGGCAGCAGUGGGGAGUAUUGCGCAAUGGGGGCAACCCUGACGCAGCAACGCCGCGUGUGGGAAGAAGGUCUUCGGAUUGUAAACCAUUGUCUUCGGUGACGAUAAUGACGGUAGCCGAGGAGGAAGCUCCGGCUAACUACGUGCC